rnacentral:rRNA from 1 species
UACGUAGGGGGCGAGCGUUGUCCGGAUUUAUUGGGCGUAAAGAGCGUGUAGGCGGCUUGGUAGGUCCGCUGUGAAAACUCGAGGCUCAACCUCGAGAUGUCGGCGGAAACCACUUGGCUAGAGUCCGGAAGAGGAGAGUGGAAUUCCUGGUGUAGCGGUGAAAUGCGCAGAUAUCGAGAGGAACACCUGCGGCGAAGGCGGGUUGCUGGGCUGACACUGACGCUGAACUGCGAAAGCUAGGGGAGCGAACGGG